GAUGAACGCUAGCGGCAGGCCUAAUACAUGCAAGUCGAACGGGAUCCAGAUCAAAGCUUGCUUUGGUCUGGUGAGAGUGGCGCACGGGUGCGUAACGCGUGAGCAACCUACCCUUGUCAGGGGGAUAGCCCGGCGAAAGUCGGAUUAAUACCGCAUGACAUCAUUGAGAGGCAUCUUUCGAUGAUCAAAGAUUUAUCGGACAAGGAUGGGCUCGCGUGACAUUAGCUAGUUGGUAAGGUAACGGCUUACCAAGGCUGCGAUGUCUAGGGGCUCUGAGAGGAGAAUCCCCCACACUGGUACUGAGACACGGACCAGACUCCUACGGGAGGCAGCAGUAAGGAAUAUUGGUCAAUGGACGGAAGUCUGAACCAGCCAUGCCGCGUGCAGGAAGACGGCCCUAUGGGUUGCAAACUGCUUUUAUACGGGAACAAACGUCGGUACGUGUACCGGUCUGAGUGUACCGUAAGAAUAAGGAUCGGCUAACUCCGUG
rnacentral:rRNA from 1 species